AAGCGCUUGCAAUUAGACUUGCACGCUGUCGAUCAUCCGAACUUCUGUCCGGUGCACUCGAUUGCGUUCAGGCCAGCAUCGGUUUCGGUGGUGGGAUAAAGGCCUUGGGAAUGUAGCUUCUUUCGGGGAGUGUUAUAGCCCUCGGUGCAAUGCCGCCUACCGGGACCGAGGACCGCGCUUCGGCUAGGAUGCUGGCGUAAUAAUUGUAAGCGA
rnacentral:rRNA from 1 species